rnacentral:tRNA from 1 species
CGUUGUGUGGCGAAAUGGUAACGCGGCAUUGUCAAAAGAUAAUGUAUAUCGUGGGUUCAACCCCCACCACAACGC